AUAGAUUAAACAAAAUCCAUGUAUUACUUAGAGGAAAAUUAAUUGUAGAUUGUAGGUACAGUAUGUAGGUGGAGAGUUGAUGUUCACACGUCAUGCAGUGUUUGGCCUUGAUGGUGUAUGUUCCUUAUUGAGAUGUCAUCAGACUCUGAAGAGGAGAAUGGUGUAAGGCGUGCAGCGGAUGACAGAGAUGACAGUGAUGGUGGCAUGUACGAUCGUAGAUCGAGAUCUAGAUCUCGUUCUCGAUCAGCUGAGGGGAGUCAUCACUCAGAUAAUAAUGGGAACAGCAGGCUUCGUGGUUCAGACGAGGAAAGGUCACCUGACAGGAAGGAAAAUGGCUUGAGGGGAGACUCUGACAACGAGAAGAAUGACAAUCGAAGGCAAUAUAGCCGAUCAAGAACUCCAGAAAACCAAGAAAUGGUGGAGUGGGGCAGGGAUGCUGAUGAAAAGCGCCUCUCACGCAGCCGUAGUAAGAGCAAGCCAAGAGACCAAGACCCAGCCAAGGAACGAAAGUCGAGCUCCUCAUCUUCAUCAAAGAAGAAAUCUCGAGCAAGAAGAUCAAGAUCUCGCUCCAGAAGUAAGAGGCGCUCUCGCUCACGGACCAGGCGCUCUCGCUCCAGAAGCCGAAAGAGGUCAAGGUCGAGGUCUCGUUCUCGAGGUUCUAGGUCUCGAAGGAGGUCAAGAUCUCGGUCAAGAAGGCGAUCAAGAUCGAGGUCAAGGAGUGGAACACCUGUAGAUGGAGCUCGUCUCCAUGUGGCAGAACUAGAUGUUGACACUCGUAAACGUGACUUGGAGCGAGUGUUUGAGAAAUAUGGGCGUCUGAGAGAAAUUUGGAUGGCACGAAAUCCCCCGUGUUUCGCAUUUGUUGUCUACGCCCACCAGAAAGAUGCUGAUCGUGCUCUUAAAGAGACAGAUGGCAUUAUGAUUGGUCACUGCCGAAUCAAGGUAACUCAAGCAAGACCCCGUGUACGUGGAGGUCGAAUGAGGGGAGGCUAUGAUCCAAACUUGCGCUGCUACCAGUGUGGGGAGUUGGGUCAUUUCUCCCGGAAUUGUACCGACACAAAGUUUGGCUACAAACGACCCCCAACUCCUCCAGGGAUGUGUUAUGGUUUGGUAUUGUGGUCAUGUGGUUGGGUUAUUGGUGCGGUGGGGAGAGGCGCCUCCAGAGUGCCUUGAGAAGCGUGAUGAUGGCACAACUGCGGUGGCACAGCCGCGCUAACUCCACACUUCUAGGAUGACCUUCAGGCCAGAAGAUAGCAGGAGGAAGAAUGCUUAUCUGGAGUAGCAGCCUAGACAAGAUUACUCCAGACAUGUGGUAUGGCGGGUUCCACAGCUUAGGGGUUAAUUUUGAGUCGUGUGUUAAUGUGUUACUGUUGACAACGUAUGAGUUGAAAGACGGUGAAGAAGUCAGCAGAGUGAGGCAUGGUAAAGGACAACAUUCGGCAUGGGAGAUGGCUAAGAAGUCCACUUUCAGUGUGUGAGAUGGUAACGAACUUCAUGUUGGGAGAUGGUAACGGACUACGUGUUGUGAGAUGGUACCGACGUGUUGGGAGAUGGUAACGGACUACGUAUUGGGAGAUGGUAAUGGACUACAUGUUAGGAGAUGAGCCCACAGAGGAAGAGCUCGCCACAGGUCACGAUCCAGGUCACGCUCUUGGCAUCGUAGCCGCUCCAGAUCUCGUUCUUGAGGAACAGGUCAGCAAGUUCAUUUGGAUUUGGUUGCGGUAUUAUUAAGCACCCCAGAACAGCUAUUGUGGGUUUCUGAAAAACCUGUUUGGAGGACCAGAAUGAAUGCUGAAUGAAGAUCAAAGUAUAAAUUUCCAGGUCAUUUGGGAAAGUUACAAGAAUGACUCUACUGUAUUCUUCAAAUUUAUGAAACACUUCAUUUUCAUUUGGUGAGCUUCAUUAUUUACUUUUUUUUAGAAGCAUUGAGGAUCAAAUUAACAAAGUUACAUGAAAUGAGAGCUGAAUGUGGUCACUGCUGGCACAAAUUAGGAAAUGGUACCUGCAUCUCAUAGAUCUGGCUUUUUUAAUUUGAUACAUUAUUUGUAUUAUGUGUUAGUUUAUGUACUUCAUGUUUAGUUAUAAUUGAAUAUUGUAGUUGUCAGUCAUUCUUUCCCACCUGCCAUCUCUGGAGGUCAUGACAGUUGUGUUCAGCUAAGUACUCUGUGAAGUGUUUCUGGCUAAGUGGAGCUCCACCACUUGUAUUAGGCACAACAUUCCUUUUCUUUCUUAUGUUUGGAGUAUGUAAUAAUCUUUUAAUAAAUUAAAAGAUAACUUUGCUUGAAUGUAUAUUCCUUACUUUUAACUUUUAAUAUAUUGCCAUGGCAAAACAACUUCACUAGUCCUUAGCAGAAUAUAACUGUUUGUUGGAGAACGUAGGAGUCAAAACAGCAUGAGAUCCCACUGACUGGGAAAAUCAGUUGAAACAUUUCAGUAAUGUCAUCUCUUUCUCUUUUGAAGUUAUAUUUGGAUAUUGAACAGAAAAUCCAUCAUUUACACCUAGUGGAUUAUCUGACUAAAACCUUUUCUUACCACACUAAUCAGAUGCCAGAAUCUCCUCCACCUCCUUGACCAUUACCCAGGUAACAGAAUGUGGUAGAAAAAAAAAAUCUGACAAAUAUGAUUACAUUAAAGUUGUGUAGCUGUACACUUGGCAGAUUACAUCAGUUAUAUUUUGUAGUAUAUACACUUAAAGGUUGAUAGUUACAUGUAGACCCUUGAUAAAUAUGUCAGGUUGGUUAACAAUCUAUUGGCAGAUUUUAUGUUAUGAGUUACAGAAAUAGUCGUGUUAAACAUAAAAAAAUUAUAAUAUAAGUUUAUUGCAUUGAGCUUUUCUUGGCUAAAGACUCUGCUUGUGGGAUUCAGCAGAUGGGGGAGUGACAAAAUCAGUGAUGUAGUGGUUAGUUUUUUUAUUGGAAAUGUUGUCGAUCAAUGUAUUUUGAAUUCUUGAUUAUUGUUGUUUGCAAAUGUCUACUCACUGGGCACAUUCACUUCAUUGCAUUACACACAACACCACUGAAAUUUUUAACAGUUCAACAAAAAUAAAAUGCAUAGAUGUCUCAAUGUGACCAGCAAAAAAUAAUUACCAUUAAACACAUUUCAUGCAGUAUUUGGUGUUUCGUUUCUUAUUGUAUCAACAAAAAGUUUAUUAAGAGUUAACUUUGUACAUUUCAAAGUAAGAGGUUCACUAGUCCAGUGAGUGGCAAGCUAAUGGCCAUCCUUCCCCAAGCCUUGAGGCUAUUAUAAUUACACAUUGCCUAGUCACCAGUCGCAAAAUACACAACAUUUUUAUUCACCCUUUACAACACAUGGGACUUUUGUUGCCACUGGUCACUGUUGAACAAUUUGUGGCGACUUAAAAAUUUUGAGAAAUUCUCUUGAGCUGGUUGAUUGUAAAUGUGGGAGCUUUGUAAAGAAUACCUAUUAAAUGUGUGAUUGUUCAUAGCUUUAUUUUUAAGAGUGAGCUCAAGUGUUUGUUAAUUAAGUAAAAAAAAAACUAAAAAUGGGUAUUUUAUUGGGUAAAUAAUGGAUAAUGGGGAGAGGAUGGCAACACAUACUGCAUAUCAGUACUGUAUAUCGGUGACAAGUAGACACUGUUCUUAUAUUAUAGGGCCAACAGCUAAUGUUAUGUAACCAGACUUUAUUUGCAGUUAUUAAGUAAUUUGGUUUUCACAGUAAAUGCUUUUGAACUGAAUUGUAUUGGUGAUUAGCUUUCCCUUCACUUUUGUCCAGUAUCAUAGGUCCAGGGGAUACUAUAUAAGAUAUUAUAUCUCUUUGAAAGGGAAAGUGAAAAGGGUAAGAAAAGGCAGAUUAAAAAUGUGUAUUUUAAUUGUUUGUGUUUUAAGUAGAAAUAACAAUUGCUACAACAGCCUAGUCUGGUAUGACAAAAGCUAAUAUUUCCAUAGCUUAUAGUCAGACAUUAUCAAUCAUUUUGUUGUCCUAGACCUGUGUGAUAGGUCGUGAAAUUAGUGAAAUAUUUGAUCAGGGAAGAAUAUUUGUUUUAUUUUUUGUCCUGAUCGAGGGUUAUACGUUGUCAUCACUAUAGUUAAAGUGUUGUUUUUUUUAAGUACACCAAGGAAAUAUAUGACAUAGUGGGCAAUAGUUGUGUGUGUAUUUUUGUUAAGUAUGAUAUAUUCAGUAGUUUAAAACUAUGAUUACUGUGAGCCUUAAGUUUGUAUGCAGUUUUUAAGAAAUGAUUAUUCACUGUCUUAUGAUUUUUAUUUUUAAGGGUUUGUUAAAGGAUUAAAUGGCUUGUAAGAAAGUGCAUUUGUUGGCUUGUAAAGAGCAAUGUUUUUUUGUUUUUUAAUGAAUUCAUGAACUACAGGGGGUAGUUGUAAAUAAAAUAUUAGAAUUUAUAACUUUUGCUAGAAAUUAUAUUAGGUGGGAGGGGGGGUGAUGAGGUUAUUACAUAGUGCAGGCCCUAACAUGGGUCUAGGGCAAGAUUAGUUUACUGUUUUGUCAAUUGAACAGUUGACCAAAAGUAAUUGGCUUAUUUUUGUUGUCAUUGGUUUAUUUGAUUGUAAUUUAGUGAAUGGUUACAAGAAAAUGAAAGUUACAUGUACAACAGUGUUGUUUUGAUUGUGGAUUAAAAUUGACCAACAGUGUAUUUUGGUUGUGUACAUGGAUUAAUAAAUCUUGAUUUAUUUC